AUUGAACGCUGGCGGCAUGCUUUACACAUGCAAGUCGAACGGUAACAGGGUGCUUGCACCGCUGACGAGUGGCGAACGGGUGAGUAAUGCGUCGGAACGUGCCGAGUAGUGGGGGAUAACGCAGCGAAAGUUGUGCUAAUACCGCAUACGUACUGAGGUAGAAAGUGGGGGACCUUCGGGCCUCACGCUAUUCGAGCGGCCGACGUCUGAUUAGCUAGUAGGUGAGGUAAAGGCUCACCUAGGCGGCGAUCAGUAGCGGGUCUGAGAGGAUGAUCCGCCACACUGGGAGUGAGACACGGCACAGAAUCCUACGGGAGGCAGCAGUGGGGAAUUUUGGACAAUGGGCGAAAGCCUGAUCCAGCCAUGCCGCGUGUCUGAAGAAGGCCUUCGGGUUGUAAAGGACUUUUGUCAGGGAGGAAAUCCCUAGUGCUAAUAACACUGGGGGAUGACAGUACCUGAAGAAUAAGCACCGGCUAACUACGUGCCAGCCGCCGCCGUAA
rnacentral:rRNA from 1 species